rnacentral:misc_RNA from 1 species
GAAAUGCGAUACUUGGUGUGAAUUGCAGAAUCCCGUGAACCAUCGAGUCUUUGAACGCAAGUUGCGCCCGAAGCCAUUAGGCCGAGGGCACGCCUGCCUGGGUGUCACACAUCGUUUCCCCAACGCAAACAAAGUAUCGCAUUUCGCUGCGUUCUUAAUCGAUGCGAUGGAAGCAAGCU